rnacentral:ribozyme from 1 species
UGCCCAGCAACUCCUAUCCCUACCUCCUCGCGGUACUGGCCGGGGUACGAGUAACCUUGGGGAAGAUUGGGUAACCAACCCCCGGUGGGAACUUUGGUCGUAUGCUGACAGGGAAAG